GCUCAGUAGUCAGUGUAGAU
rnacentral:miRNA from 1 species